CAGGGUGUGGCUGAGUAGAUAAGUAUCUCAUUUACACCGAGAGGACACCCAUGCAAUCUGGGUCACCCUGA
rnacentral:tRNA from 1 species